AAAUAUAAAAAACAAACAUUUAAAUCUAAUUUCUCAGAGUUCUGAAGCAAGUUCUGUUCAGGUUCUGUCCAGGUUCUGUUCGGGUUCUGUCCUGAGCUCCAGAACCAGAAUCGAUGGUCCAAAGUCUGUGUGAAC